rnacentral:rRNA from 1 species
GACGAACGCUUGCGGCGUGCUUAACACAUGCAAGUCGAACGGAAAGGCCCUGCUUUUGUGGGGUGCUCGAGUGGCGAACGGGUGAGUAACACGUGAGUAACCUGCCCUUGACUUUGGGAUAACUUCAGGAAACUGGGGCUAAUACCGGAUAGGAGCUCCUGCUGCAUGGUGGGGGUUGGAAAGUUUCGGCGGUUGGGGAUGGACUCGCGGCUUAUCAGCUUGUUGGUGGGGUAGUGGCUUACCAAGGCUUUGACGGGUAGCCGGCCUGAGAGGGUGACCGGCCACAUUGGGACUGAGAUACGGCCCAGACUCCUACGGGAGGCAGCAGUGGGGAAUAUUGCACAAUGGGCGGAAGCCUGAUGCAGCAACGCCGCGUGCGGGAUGACGGCCUUCGGGUUGUAAACCGCUUUCGCCUGUGACGAAGCGUGAGUGACGGUAAUGGGUAAAGAAGCACCGGCUAACUACGUGCCAGCAGCCGCGGUGAUACGUAGGGUGCGAGCGUUGUCCGGAUUUAUUGGGCGUAAAGGGCUCGUAGGUGGUUGAUCGCGUCGGAAGUGUAAUCUUGGGGCUUAACCCUGAGCGUGCUUUCGAUACGGGGUUGACUUUGAGGAAGGUAGGGGAGAAAUGGAAUUCCUGGUGGAGCGGUGGAAUGCGCAGAUAUCAGGAGGAACACCAGUGGCGAAGGCGGUUCUCUGGGCCUUUCCUGACGCUGAGGAGCGAAAGCGUGGGGAGCGAACAGGCUUAGAUACCCUGGUAGUCCACGCUGUAAACGGUGGGUACUAGGUGUGGGGUCCAUUCCACGGGUUCCGUGCCGUAGCUAACGCUUUAAGUACCCCGCCUGGGGAGUACGGCCGCAAGGCUAAAACUCAAAGGAAUUGACGGGGCCCCGCACAAGCGGCGGAGCAUGCGGAUUAAUUCGAUGCAACGCGUAGAACCUUACCUGGGUUUGACAUGGAUCGGGAGUGCUCAGAGAUGGGUGUGCCUCUUUUGGGGUCGGUUCACAGGUGGUGCAUGCCUGUCGUCAGCUCGUGUCGUGAGAUGUUGGGUUAAGUCCCGCAACGAGCGCAACCCUUGUUCACUGUUGCCAGCACGUUAUGGUGGGGACUCAGUGGAGACCGCCGGGGUCAACUCGGAGGAAGGUGGGGAUGACGUCAAGUCCUCAUGCCCCUUAUGUCCAGGGCUUCACGCAUGCUACAAUGGCUGGUACAGAGAGUGGCGAGCCUGUGAGGGUGAGCGAAUCUCGGAAAGCCGGUCUCAGUUCGGAUUGGGGUCUGCAACUCGACCUCAUGAAGUCGGAGUCGCUAGUAAUCGCAGAUCAGCAACGCUGCGGUGAAUACGUUCCCGGG